rnacentral:tRNA from 1 species
GGGCCGGUGGCGGAAUUGGUAUACGCGCUGGAUUUAGGUUCCAGUGGGGAAACCCGUGAAGGUUCAAGUCCUUUCCGGCCUACCA